rnacentral:rRNA from 1 species
AGUGAACGUUGGCGGUGUGGAUUAGGCAUGCAAGUCGAGCGGGAGUAGCAAUACUCCAGCGGCGAAAGGGAGAGUAAUGCGUAGAUUACCUACCUCCAGGCCCGGGAUAACCGUGGGAAACUGCGGGUAAUACCGGAUAAUGUCUCCGGACCAAAGGUGUGAUUCCGCCUGGAGACGGGUCUGCGUCCUAUCAGCUAGUUGGUGAGGUAACGGCUUACCAAGGCGACGACGGGUACGAGGCGUGAGGGCGUGUCCUCGCUCACUGGGACUGAGACACUGCCCAGACACCUACGGGUGGCUGCAGUCGAGAAUCUUCGUCAAUGGGCGCAAGCCUGAACGAGCGACGCCGCGUGCGGGAUGAAGGCCUUCGGGUUGUAAACCGCUGUCAGAGGGGAUGAAAUGCCGGUGGGUUCUCCCAUCGGUUUGACAGAUCCUCAGAGGAAGUACGGGCUAAGUUCGUGCCAGCCGCCGCAGUAAUAC